ensembl:lncRNA
GUUUGGUCUUCUAAAAGAGGACACAACUAGAAAUCAGUGGUUAUGUUGUAUCUACAACACUGUUCCUGAACAGUUCAACCCAAAUAUUCAGAUGUGUGCAGCGAAUUUGACGGAGGAUGAGGGCUAUUAACUGGAAGAGUAGCCUACAGUGCCAGUGUCUGUUUCUAUAAAGUGGGGCAAUUCCAACUUUGCAAGGACAGUCUGGUGCUUCUGACUCACAGCCUCUGCUCGGGCUCAUUUCCUCGUUAGCCCCUGGUCCCUGCCCUGGCCUGAAGUCAUCGCUCAGUUAGGCAGCUGCCAGGCCGGCCCUGAGGGUCCCCAGUGGUGAGUGAGGA